rnacentral:pre_miRNA from 1 species
AGAACAAUUUCUGGGUCAUAUGGUAGUUGUAUAUUAAAGAAAUUGAUGAAGUGUUCUUCAAAGUGGCUGUAUCAUUUUCUAUUCCUACCAGCAGU